CGUACCGUCGACGUCGAACGGACGAACGCUCGGCGGCGUGCCAAUACAUGCAAGUCGUAACGCUUCUUUUCUAUCGAACUCGGUUCACGAAAAGAAGAGUGGCGAACGGGUGAGUAACACCGUGGGUAACCUACCCAUCAGCGGGGGAGUAACACUUGGAAACAGGUGCUAAUACCGCAUUAAUCUUUUUCUCCGCCUGGAGAGAAAGUGAAAGGCGCUUUUGCGUCACUGAUGGAUGGACCCGCGCUGCAUUAGCUAGUUGGUGAGGUAACGGCUCACCAAGGCCACGAUGCAUAGCCGACCUGAGAGGGUGAUCGGCCACACUGGGACUGAGACACGGCCCAGACUCCUACGGGAGGCAGCAGUAGGGAAUCUUCGGCAAUGGACGAAAGUCUGACCGAGCAACGCCACGUGAGUGAAGAAGGUUUUCGGAUCGUAAAACUCUGUUGUUAGAGAAGAAUAAGGAUGAGAGUAAAAAGUUCAUCCCUUGACGGUAUCUAACCAGAAAGCCACGGCUAACUACGUG
rnacentral:rRNA from 1 species